rnacentral:rRNA from 1 species
UACGUAGGUGGCAAGCGUUGUUCGGAAUUACUGGGCGUAAAGCGCGCGUAGGCGGCUCUUCAAGUCAGGCGUGAAAGCCCCGGGCUUAACUCGGGAACUGCGCUUGAUACUGUCGAGCUAGAGUGUGGAAGGGGCGAUUGGAAUUCCGUGUGUAGCGGUGAAAUGCGUAGAUAUACGGAGGAACACCAGAGGCGAAGGCGGAUCGCUGGGCCAACACUGACGCUGAUGUGCGAAAGCGUGGGGAGCAAACAGG